rnacentral:rRNA from 1 species
UACAGAGGUCUCAAGCGUUGUUCGGAUUCAUUGGGCGUAAAGGGUGUGUAGGAGGUCGGGUCAGUCAGGUGUGAAAUCUCAGAGCUUAACUCUGAAACUGCGCUUGAUACUGCUCGGCUAGAGGAUCGGAGGGGGUAUCGGAAUUUAUGGUGUAGCAGUGAAAUGCGUAGAUAUCAUAAGGAACACCGGUGGCGAAGGCGGAUACCUGGAAGAUUCCUGACUCUGAAACACGAAAGCCAGGGGAGCAAACGGG